rnacentral:rRNA from 1 species
CUGGUUGAUCCUGCCAGUAGUCAUAUGCUUGUCUCAAAGAUUAAGCCAUGCAUGUCUAAGUACAUGCCGAAACAAGGCGAAACCGCGAAUGGCUCAUUAAAUCAGUUAUGGGUCCUUAGAUCGUUUCUUCCUACUUGGAUAACUGUGGCAAUUCUAGAGCUAAUACAUGCAGUGAGCCCGAAGCCCUCGGGCGACGGGUGCUUUUAUUAGACCAAGAUCAAUCGGGCCUCGGUCCGUUUUGUGUGGUGACUCUGGAUAACUUUGUGCUGAUCGCGACGGCAACGAGCCGGCGACGUUUUCUUUCAAGUGUCUGCCUUAUCAACUGUCGAUGGUAGGUUAUGCGCCUACCAUGGUUGUUACGGGUAACGGAGAAUCAGGGUUCGAUUCCGGAGAGGAGCCUGAGAAACGGCUACCACAUCCAAGGAAGGCAGCAGGCGCGCAAAUUACCCACUCCCGUCACGGGGAGGUAGUGACGAAAAAUAACAAUACGGGACUCUUUUGAGGACCCGUAAUUGAAAUGAGUACACUCUAAAUCCUUUACGAGGAUCCAUUGGAGGGCAAGUCUGGUGCCAGCAGCCGCGGUAAUUCCAGCUCCAAUACGCGUAUACUAAAGUUGCUGCGGUUAAAAGCCGUAGUUGGAUCUCAGUUACAGGCGGGAAGUGCGUGGACACCACGUUACGGCCCGUGCUGAACAUCAUGCCUGUCGGGGCUUGGUUUCCCUUCCUCAGGUGCCUUGCCUUGGCCGCGCGUUUACUUGAAAAAAAUUGAGUUCAACGCAGGUAUUCCCUGUAAGUGCAUGAAAAAAAAAUCCUAACGGUUGUUGUUUUUGGAAUACCGGGAUAAUGAUUAAAGAGACAGACGGGGGCAUUCGUAGGGGCGCUAAGGUGUUCUUGACCGUCGCAAUACACACUCAAGCUUUGCAGAUUUUUCUUGAUCAGAAGAAAGUAAGUUCGAGGCGAUCGAUACCCCCUAGUCUACCAUAAACGAUCCCACCAGCGACCGCCUAUUCCAAAAACUCGCGGAGCUUCCGAACCAAGUUUUGGUUCCG